AUUGAACGCUGGCGGCAUGCCUUACACAUGCAAGUCGAACGGUAACAGGUCUUCGGAUGCUGACGAGUGGCGAACGGGUGAGUAAUACAUCGGAACGUGCCUAGUAGUGGGGGAUAACUACUCGAAAGAGUGGCUAAUACCGCAUGAGAUCUACGGAUGAAAGCAGGGGAUCGCAAGACCUUGUGCUACUAGAGCGGCCGAUGGCAGAUUAGGUAGUUGGUGGGAUAAAAGCUUACCAAGCCGACGAUCUGUAGCUGGUCUGAGAGGACGAUCAGCCACACUGGGACUGAGACACGGCCCAGACUCCUGCGGGAGGCACCAGGGGGGAAUUUUGGACAAUGGGCGCAAGCCUGAUCCAGCAAUGCCGCGUGCAGGAUGAAGGACUUCGGGUUGUAAACUGCUUUUGUACGGAACGAAAAGCCCUGGGUUAAUACCCUGGGGUCAUGACGGUACCGUAAGAAUAAGCACCGGCUAACUACGUGCCAGCAGCCGCCGUAAGAC
rnacentral:rRNA from 1 species